UUCUAUUGCUUUCUUUUUUUAGUUGUAUCACUAGACCCAGGACUUUCAGCAGCAACAAUUCAUAUUGUUAACAUGAGAAUUGAUGGUGAUGAUCCGAUAAAUAGGAAACCAGUCAGUAAACCAGAUGAUGGAGAGUUCAUUGAAGUCUUAGUGUUACCAGUCCAUGAAAUGUGUUGCAGAUUGGAUAAAUAUGCCUCAGAUGGUUGUAUUUUGGAUGCACGAGUAUACACUUACGCAAUGCUUUUGGACCAACAGAACCACCCUGAUAAACUUAUCAAGUUAUAGUAUGUUUACAAUUCCACAGUAUUUUAAUGAUUUUUGUACAAUAAUCAUUGAGUAAAGGCUGUUUAACAGUUUUAUGUGGAAAUUCUGUCCAGUUGGAUUGUCAUAGAGACAAUUAAUUGAGCCUGGAGAAAGAAAAAAGAACACAAAAUCUAAUCUUUCCUUUAAAUAAUCUUGUCAAUGUCUUUUUUCAUCUUUUAUUAUGUUUUUUUGUAAGGCUCAGAAGUGUGAUCAGGAUUUCUUCCUUCCCAAUGCAUUAUCAGUAUUACAAUAAAGAAUUUGAAUUUAAAGAAUAUAUAUUUGGAAACAAGUAGUUAAGGUUUCAUGGUUUAGAAUAUCAAUUUGUUUUGUUUCCUUUUGUUAUAUUUUAAGUUUAAAAAGGUAAAAUUCUGUGUUAAGAAGUUAUUGAAAUUUAACUGACAUUGUUACUACCAAUUAUUAUGAUUAUAAAUGAACGUUUUAAUACUUCUGGUGCCAAAUGAAUCAGUUUAUAAAUAUAUAAUAUAUUACGUUUUCAUACUGUAAUAUCUGUCACAGAUAUUAUACUUUUAGGAUAAUUGAAACAACUCAAUAAUGAAUUUAAAAGCUUUACCUUAACUUGGAUAUAAGACUGGAAUGAUGCAUCAGUGUUUGGUGAUGGAGUAUAUAACCCUCUAUAGUUCUCUUUUUUAAGACCAGUUGCAAAGUGUAGAUACAGCAAAUACAACUCAGGAACUCACAGUAUUCAAAUUGGCUCAUUUUAUCGUAAGCCUAUAUCUACCAAUAUUUUCGGCCAUUGGCCUUUAUCAGGCUAGUAUGUUAUACACAUACGUUCCUACUUAUAUAUUCAUCCUUUCAUAUGGGCAAGUAAACACAUUACACAGAUAUAACAGUUACAUUUAAGCGAAUAGAGUUUUCCAUAAUGUGUGCUCUAUGAAGCUGGGCACGCACUGCGGGAAUGUGCCAGGGUGGUGAUGGAUGGUGACCCCGAAGAGUAUUUCCAUCUUAUUUUGCCCAUCUUUCCCAUCCAUGUCAGGUCUGUCAUAAAUAAAUAUACAUAAAAAUAAAUAAAUAAUUUAAAUAAAAUUAAUUAAUUCAAAAUAAUAAUGCAGAAAAAAGGCUACAUGUACACUCUGCAGGUAGAAAACGGCGCCGCAAGCAGCUCUACAGAGAGAUGGAUACAUGCGCCUAAUAAGAUGGCAUUAUUAAUAAGAUGGCAUCGUACGACCAUGUUUUUAUACCUCCAUGGUACAGAUCAUUAAUAAAAAAUGUGUUGUUGUGUGUCCACCUUCAGUCGACCAUCAUUAUUAUUAUCAUUAUCAUCAUCAUCAUCAUCAUCAUUAUUAUUAUUUGAUUUGUUCAGUCCACCAGGAGACCAUCCCCUCCACUUUUUUAAAAGCACCGUUAUGUAGUAUAAUCAAUGUAUCAAAAUUGGAGUAACAUGAUAAUGAUAAUUAGUAAAUAUGUAGGACAGUAUACACCAUUUGUUUAGAUGGGAAUUACUAACGUUCUGAACAGAUAAUUUUACAAUUUGUUUUUUCUGUACAGGAUAAUGUUUGUCAUUUUAAAACAUAUAUAUAAAAUCACUUUUAAAUAAAAUAAUCAUUAUUCUGAUGA
rnacentral:lncRNA from 1 species